rfam:Zootermopsis nevadensis contig7040, whole genome shotgun sequence.
GUGCCUUAAACUAAUGAGUAAGGAAAAUAUAGAGCCUUGGUGACGCUUGGUUCCAGCUAGGCGAUCUCUAGCACUAUAUAUUUUUGAAAGGGUACAGGUCGUCCUCUGAGUGGUUUGUCUACUUUUGCAAACUAUUCGAGUGACAGCGAUCUUCCCU